rnacentral:rRNA from 1 species
UACAGAGGGUGCGAGCGUUAAUCGGAUUUACUGGGCGUAAAGGGUGCGUAGGCGGUGAGAUGAGUGUGAUGUGAAAGCCCCGGGCUUAACCUGGGAAGUGCAUCGCAAACGAUCUGACUGGAGUAUAUGAGAGGGUGGCGGAAUUUCCGGUGUAGCGGUGAAAUGCGUAGAGAUCGGAAGGAACGUCGAUGGCGAAGGCAGCCACCUGGCAUAAUACUGACGCUGAGGCACGAAAGCGUGGGGAGCGAACAGG